UGUCCCCACUGUCACUGGGAGGUACCGAUGCUUCCCAUCAAUUUAGGAGACAGCUGAGACCAGAUGCAACGUUCAGAAGAUGAAAGUCAGGAGGGAUGAACCCCUCCAGGACAUGUUCCUGCAGGUCGCUGAGCCAGCACAUCCCCACUGGUAAGCUGAUGUCCUAAUGGACCGGCGUUCCUUUUCCCUUCUCACAGCAUCUGGCUGUUAAUUCAUCUUGUGAUUUGUCUCUGAAAGUCCCAGCGUGUUUUUAGACUCCGGAGUAUUUUCAAGAAUUCACCUAGACACUUGGAAACAGGAGGGAAAAAGAACAGGAGCAUGUGAAUGAAUAUGAUUAACGGGUCAUGGUUAUUCACAGAUCCAUCUCUUAAAUGUAAUUAGUUCAUUACAAUAUAUCCAUGUUACAGAACUUCUAUAAACAAGUGUUGAGGUCUGUCAACUCAGACCCUUUAAAGUCCAGAUCUUGGAGAGGAAAAAAAGAUUUGGAAUGGAGAAAAAUAGCAAUUAGAGUUAAAUGGCAAAAUGGAGACUUAAUGUGUAGUGAGCAAUACUCCUUUUAGUGGAAAAUGUUUUUUAUGUUAACUUUUGUAAGAAAACAGUUUUCCAUACUUGUCAGGCUUGACAGUUAAAGUUAAUGGUGUUAAAAAACAGAGUACUGAAAAAUGUUCCCUUCAGCGUAAAAGAUUUAUUCAAUGAGAGUUUGCUUGAAAAGUUAUUUUGGCGAACGGUGCUGGCUUUUGCCUAACGCUUGGAACAAAGGUCCUUGCUGUGUUACCAGGAUGGGGACAGCCCCAAUUCAUGAUUUCCCAAUUAAGAUGACAUGACCUAUUUUCUUGUAUUGUUGACCUAUUGUUGACCCCUUUUUAAAAAGAAUGCCACCCUUCAAAUGUCUUUUUUUUUCUCUUUCCCUCUCCUCCUGGAAAAACACAUGGAGCAAGCGCUGAUCUCACUUCUGCCUGGAGUAAAGCCGGGUACAUGCUGGGAUGCUCAGAGACAGAAUUUGUGACUUCAUCUGCACUGAAAGAAAAUUCAAAACAGCUGGAAACUAAGGACUUCUUUGUGUGCGGCGUUUCCAGUCCCAGUCCCAGCAAGCCCAGAAAACCUGUGCUUUCCCGGCAGUGGAUGCGGCGGAGAGACCUGGUUGACGGGAUGGAGCCCGGCUCGGCUGUCGGAUGCGCCGGGGAGGGUGAGACUCUUCUACAUAAAUGUAGAUGCCACCAGGUGAAUGACUGGACUCCAACUCCCGGCGGCGACACCACCCCUCCAUGUGGUUCCUCACCUCCUAAAGGAGCUACCUAAAGAGGAAACCCAGAGCUGGUGAAAAUCUGAGGCUGUAUUUAUUAGGAGGUUCUGGAGCUCUUUCUGCAUUUCCUUGCUGAUCCCAGGUUACUUGAAACCUUGAUGAGCUGCUUUAGCCUGGUCCCAUCCCUGCCAGAAAUCCAUGACUUGGACCAACACACCGUGGUUUCAACACCGUGGAAAUGUCAUUGAAACUCUUCUACCAUGGGAUAACUGGGAGCAGGAUCAGCCUCCUGGUCCUCAGAGACACCACUUCAUUAAUUAAAUAAACCAGUGACCUCUGAGACAGGAGAGAAAACACGAAUGGAGAGAGGAGAGUGGGUUUUCUCUCCACCGCGUCUCUGCUUCUCCAGUGCUUCCUUCUCCAGCUGCCCAGUGAGGCUGAGCUCCUCCCAGCAG